UACGUAGGGGCAAGCGUUGUUCGGAAUUACUGGGCGUAAAGGGCGCGUAGGCGGCAUGGCAAGUCAGGAGUGAAAGGCCUGGGCUCAACCGAGGAACUGCUUUUGAUACUGCCAAGCUAGAGUGCGGAAGGGGCAACUGGAAUUCCCAGUGUAGCGGUGAAAUGCGUAGAUAUCAGGAGGAACACCGGUGGCGAAGGCGGUUCUCUGGGCCUUACCUGACGCUGAGGAGCGAAAGCAUGGGGAGCAAACAGG
rnacentral:rRNA from 1 species